CCAGAUGACCGGGCGGCCGCGCCAUGGCAACAUGGCGAGGAAAGUCCGGGCUCCACGGAAACAAGGCGCCGGGUAACACCCGGCGGGGGUGACCCCAGGGAAAGCGCCACAGAAAGCAAACCGCCCCGCCAGUCCGCUGACGGGGCAAGGGUGAAAGGGUGCGGUAAGAGCGCACCGCCUGCCCAGCAAUGGGCAGGGCAUGGCAAGCCCCGCCUGGAGCAAGACCAAAUAGGGGCGGCAGAUGGCGUGUUUCUGCGCCGCCGCCCGGGUCGGUCGCGCGAGGCGUUCAGCAAUGAGC
rnacentral:RNase_P_RNA from 1 species